rnacentral:rRNA from 1 species
UGGGGAAUAUUGCACAAUGGGCGCAAGCCUGAUGCAGCAACGCCGCGUGAGGGAUGACGGCCUUCGGGUUGUAAACCUCUUUUAGUAGGGAAGAAGCGAAAGUGACGGUACCUGCAGAAAAAGCACCGGCUAACUACGUGCCAGCAGCCGCGGUAAUACGUAGGGUGCGAGCGUUGUCCGGAAUUAUUGGGCGUAAAGAGCUCGUAGGCGGUCUGUCGCGUCUGCUGUGAAAACCCGAGGCUCAACCUCGGGCCUGCAGUGGGUACGGGCAGACUAGAGUGCGGUAGGGGAGAAUGGAAUUCCUGGUGUAGCGGUGGAAUGCGCAGAUAUCAGGAGGAACACCGAUGGCGAAGGCAGUUCUCUGGGCCCGUAACUGACGCUGAGGAGCGAAAGCGUGGGGAGCGAACAGGAUUAGAUACCCUGGUAGUCCACGCCGUAAACGUUGGGCGCUAGAUGUGGGGCACCAUUCCACGGUUUCCGUGUCGCAGCUAACGCAUU